UCGAGGGGCGGGCCUACGAGCAAGGCGGUGGUUGGCCGGCAGGGAAGCCCUAUAGGGGCGCGGCACCGGUUUUGAAAGCGAGGCUGCUGGGACGACGACGACUCGUGCAGCAAAGGUGCUCCCGACCACGAGUUCUUCGAGUUCUUCGAGUUCUUCUGCUUCCCGGACGGACGCAGCGAGAGACCGGCGAGUUGCCAUGCAGUCUCCCAGCAACACCCUUGGGUACAGAGCUAGCUUUGCCGAAGAGGCAAAGGUCAUUUCGGAGCAGCUGCAAGGUCAGGGGGGAGCAGAUAUAUCUACCAUAGAAGCCGAGCUCCCACCUCCCGACUUGAGUUCCUCCGCCUCUUUUCUGGACCUACCAAGCAGUGACGAGGCCCAGGUGCAGCCCAGUGACCGCUCACUUCCCCCCGCUAUUCUCGACCCUGUGCAGGAGCCUUCCCCGGCCACCCCCAGUGACCAGGGCCUUCUGUUUCUCAAAAGGCUGCCAGCUUUUGAGGAGGCUGCCAGCCCUGGCAGUCUGGUCAGAUGGGAGCUCUGUAGCCUGUCGCCUGAUGCUGUGCAGGCUGCUGAUCCCUGCUCCUUGGCCCCCCAGCCAAGCACUGAGCUCAAUAAGACCUGUCUGCUUAGCUCAGGCACUCCCCUGCCUCAAGCAGCCCAGCCAGAAGGCAGCCAGGCUCCAGAUGACCAGGCCAGUGAGGAAGGGGCUCUCCUCCAAGUGCAGGACCUCUCAGACAUCCUCAUCAAUAACACUUUCUUCUUUAGCAGGGCUCCCUUUGGGACCUGCACCCCACAGGGAGCUCCAAAACCGCUGAGGCUGCUUGAAGGGGCAUUUUUUUUCCCCUUCCCAGAGAUCCCCCAAGCUCAGGAAGCACCCGGUGUGGCUGAGGCGGCCCAGCCCAGUGCCAGACGCCCCCAGAGGCCUCGAGUAGCCACAGGCAGCCCGCCUAAGGCCACCCCAAAAAGUGGCCCUCUGGGGAAGCUGGGCCAGGAGAACCGAUCCCUGGCUGGGGCCUCUUUAGCUGUUUCCAGGAGGGAGCAUCAGGCCCUUCCUCUGCCUGGGCAGAAAAGAUGGUCACCUGUCCCCUUCAAAACUUCCCACUUGCCUGUCCUGUGCAAGUCCAGAAGGGAACCCUUGGCAUCUCCAGGAGCUAGGCAGCAGAAAGGCAGGAUCUGUGAGGCGGGCAGGAUGAAGGAAGCAGAACCACCUGCCAAGGCAGGGAAUAAUCCACCCUCGGCAGUCAAGGUGUCUCAAUUCCUCCACAGCAAAUCGACGCCACCUCGAAUCUUGCAUCAGAGGGGUCCCAGUGCUUGGGACUCUAAAUCCAGGGACCCUCAGGCAGCUCGAAUUUUGAAGCCCUUGCCUUCUAACCAGGGCACCCGAUCCAGAGUCCCAUCCAGGACAGAUGAGCAGCCCGCCAAGCAGGACGGGAAGCCCCAGCCUUCUUCAGGACGGACGUGCCUCCAGUGCCUUGUGCUGCAGAAGCAAGUGGAAGACCUCAAAAGCCAACUAGCCGCCAUGCAGUGCCUUAGCGGGGAGCUCCAGGGCCUUCAAGGCGUGGCCCGGGAUCCGUCCACAACAAACACCGGGGGCACCACCUGAAUGCCAGGCCCCGGACUCCAGGGCCCUCUCCUCCCAAGGCGGGCCCUACCAUGGAGUCUUUCCGGGUCCUUGUCUCCUUUCCUCCUCCCUCACCCCCGUUCCCCACCCUAGGACAUUGGAGCUAAGCGCACGGGUGGGGGUCUCCCAGUUCUGACUGGAGGCCAGUUGGGGCCAAGUUUUGUUGAGAGGCCUCAUCAUCGCAGGCUGUUAGCACAGUGACCUCCGGCUGCUCUUCUGAGUGGUUGUUCCCGUUCCCGUCCCCAUCCCCCACUUUAGGUGGAAAUGCCAGGAGAGAGCUGGGUUCAAAUCUCACUCACAUCUGGUGCCUCACUGACUGUGUUACUCUGGGCAAGUCACUUCAUCUCCGAGUUCCCUCAUUUGUGAAAUGAGGCUAAUGAUUUCUUCCUGUUUCGACCCCAGUUGUUGUAAGACUCGGACGAGAUGAUCUAUGUGAACUGCUUCAAGCAUCCUUAAAGGCUCUCCUGGAUUUUGUUCCAAAGGGCUUGGAUGCCAGAGCAUGCACACUGGGAGAAGGCAUUUCCUGACUGGGAGUUCAUCCCCUCCUCCCAGACCCCACUCUUCUUUCUGUUUCCUUUGGAGUGAUUUUAAGUGAUCAUAGAAGUGGAAGGGGCCAUCCCUUGUGCAGAUGAAACUGAGGCCCAGGGAAACCAAGUAACUUGCGCAGCGUCACGCAGAGCACAAGCGUCACAGUUAGGCUUUGAAUGCAGGCUCUCUCGCCUCAGACAAAUUUGGAAGCCUUUAUGGUAGCCCAGGCAAGAAUAAUAAAGCAGUUUGAGUGGCAAAGGUGGAGGCA
rnacentral:lncRNA from 1 species